rnacentral:rRNA from 1 species
CUACGGGAUGCAGCAGUGGGGAAUAUUGGACAAUGGGGGAAACCCUGAUCCAGCAAUGCCGCGUGUGUGAAGAAGGCCUGCGGGUUGUAAAGCACUUUCGGUUGGGAGGACUGCUUCUAGCACUAAUAUUGUUGGAAGUUGACGUUACCUUCAGAAGAAGCACCGGCUAACUCCGUGCCAGCAGCCGCGGUAAUACGGAGGGUGCAAGCGUUAAUCGGAAUUACUGGGCGUAAAGCGCGCGUAGGCGGCUAGAUCAGUCGGGUGUGAAAUCCCCGGGCUUAACCUGGGAACUGCAUCCGAUACUGUCUAGCUUGAGUACAGGAGAGGAGAGUGGAAUUCCACAUGUAGCGGUGAUAUGCGUAGAUAUGUGGAGGAACACCAAUGGCGAAGGCAGCUCUCUGGCCUGAUACUGACGCUGAGGUGCGAAAGCGUGGGGAGUAAACAGGAUUAGAUACCCGCGUAGUC